ACUAAGCGUACACGGUGGAUGCCCUGGCAGUCAGAGGCGAUGAAGGACGUGCUAAUCUGCGAUAAGCGUCGGUAAGGUGAUAUGAACCGUUAUAACCGGCGAUUUCCGAAUGGGGAAACCCAGUGUGAUUCGUCACACUAUCAUUAACUGAAUCCAUAGGUUAAUGAGGCGAACCGGGGGAACUGAAACAUCUAAGUACCCGAGGAAAAGAAAUCAACCGAGAUUCCCCCAGUAGCGGCGAGCGAACGGGGAGCAGCCCAGAGCCUGAAUCAGUGUGUGUGUUAGUGGAAGCGUCUGGAAAGGCGUGCGAUACAGGGUGACAGCCCCGUACACAAAAAUGCACAUACUGUGAGCUCGAUGAGUAGGGCGGGACACGUGGUAUCCUGUCUGAAUAUGGGGGGACCAUCCUCCAAGGCUAAAUACUCCUGACUGACCGAUAGUGAACCAGUACCGUGAGGGAAAGGCGAAAAGAACCCCGGCGAGGGGAGUGAAAAAGAACCUGAAACCGUGUACGUACAAGCAGUGGGAGCACGCUUAGGCGUGUGACUGCGUACCUUUUGUAUAAUGGGUCAGCGACUUAUAUUCUGUAGCAAGGUUAACCGAAUAGGGGAGCCGAAGGGAAACCGAGUCUUAACUGGGCGUUAAGUUGCAGGGUAUAGACCCGAAACCCGGUGAUCUAGCCAUGGGCAGGUUGAAGGUUGGGUAACACUAACUGGAGGACCGAACCGACUAAUGUUGAAAAAUUAGCGGAUGACUUGUGGCUGGGGGUGAAAGGCCAAUCAAACCGGGAGAUAGCUGGUUCUCCCCGAAAGCUAUUUAGGUAGCGCCUCGUGAAUUCAUCUCCGGGGGUAGAGCACUGUUUCGGCAAGGGGGUCAUCCCGACUUACCAACCCGAUGCAAACUGCGAAUACCGGAGAAUGUUAUCACGGGAGACACACGGCGGGUGCUAACGUCCGUCGUGAAGAGGGAAACAACCCAGACCGCCAGCUAAGGUCCCAAAGUCAUGGUUAAGUGGGAAACGAUGUGGGAAGGCCCAGACAGCCAGGAUGUUGGCUUAGAAGCAGCCAUCAUUUAAAGAAAGCGUAAUAGCUCACUGGUCGAGUCGGCCUGCGCGGAAGAUGUAACGGGGCUAAACCAUGCACCGAAGCUGCGGCAGCGACGCUUAUGCGUUGUUGGGUAGGGGAGCGUUCUGUAAGCCUGUGAAGGUGUGCUGUGAGGUAUGCUGGAGGUAUCAGAAGUGCGAAUGCUGACAUAAGUAACGAUAAAGCGGGUGAAAAGCCCGCUCGCCGGAAGACCAAGGGUUCCUGUCCAACGUUAAUCGGGGCAGGGUGAGUCGACCCCUAAGGCGAGGCCGAAAGGCGUAGUCGAUGGGAAACAGGUUAAUAUUCCUGUACUUGGUGUUACUGCGAAGGGGGGACGGAGAAGGCUAUGUUGGCCGGGCGACGGUUGUCCCGGUUUAAGCGUGUAGGCUGGUUUUCCAGGCAAAUCCGGAAAAUCAAGGCCGAGGCGUGAUGACGAGGCACUACGGUGCUGAAGCAACAAAUGCCCUGCUUCCAGGAAAAGCCUCUAAGCAUCAGGUAACAUCAAAUCGUACCCCAAACCGACACAGGUGGUCAGGUAGAGAAUACCAAGGCGCUUGAGAGAACUCGGGUGAAGGAACUAGGCAAAAUGGUGCCGUAACUUCGGGAGAAGGCACGCUGAUACGUAGGUGAAGCGACUUGCUCGUGGAGCUGAAAUCAGUCGAAGAUACCAGCUGGCUGCAACUGUUUAUUAAAAACACAGCACUGUGCAAACACGAAAGUGGACGUAUACGGUGUGACGCCUGCCCGGUGCCGGAAGGUUAAUUGAUGGGGUUAGCGCAAGCGAAGCUCUUGAUCGAAGCCCCGGUAAACGGCGGCCGUAACUAUAACGGUCCUAAGGUAGCGAAAUUCCUUGUCGGGUAAGUUCCGACCUGCACGAAUGGCGUAAUGAUGGCCAGGCUGUCUCCACCCGAGACUCAGUGAAAUUGAACUCGCUGUGAAGAUGCAGUGUACCCGCGGCAAGACGGAAAGACCCCGUGAACCUUUACUAUAGCUUGACACUGAACAUUGAGCCUUGAUGUGUAGGAUAGGUGGGAGGCUUUGAAGUGUGGACGCCAGUCUGCAUGGAGCCGACCUUGAAAUACCACCCUUUAAUGUUUGAUGUUCUAACGUGGACCCGUGAUCCGGGUUGCGGACAGUGUCUGGUGGGUAGUUUGACUGGGGCGGUCUCCUCCUAAAGAGUAACGGAGGAGCACGAAGGUUGGCUAAUCCUGGUCGGACAUCAGGAGGUUAGUGCAAUGGCAUAAGCCAGCUUGACUGCGAGCGUGACGGCGCGAGCAGGUGCGAAAGCAGGUCAUAGUGAUCCGGUGGUUCUGAAUGGAAGGGCCAUCGCUCAACGGAUAAAAGGUACUCCGGGGAUAACAGGCUGAUACCGCCCAAGAGUUCAUAUCGACGGCGGUGUUUGGCACCUCGAUGUCGGCUCAUCACAUCCUGGGGCUGAAGUAGGUCCCAAGGGUAUGGCUGUUCGCCAUUUAAAGUGGUACGCGAGCUGGGUUUAGAACGUCGUGAGACAGUUCGGUCCCUAUCUGCCGUGGGCGCUGGAGAACUGAGGGGGGCUGCUCCUAGUACGAGAGGACCGGAGUGGACGCAUCACUGGUGUUCGGGUUGUCAUGCCAAUGGCACUGCCCGGUAGCUAAAUGCGGAAGAGAUAAGUGCUGAAAGCAUCUAAGCACGAAACUUGCCCCGAGAUGAGUUCUCCCUGACCCUUUAAGGGUCCUGAAGGAACGUUGAAGACGACGACGUUGAUAGGCCGGGUGUGUAAGCGCAGCGAUGCGUUGAGCUAACCGGUACUAAUGAACCGUGAGGCUUAACC
rnacentral:rRNA from 1 species